UCUUAGCAGGGCUGCGUGUGUGUGCAAACU
rnacentral:piRNA from 1 species